UCUUGGCUGGCUCAGUCAGUAGAGCAUGUGACUCUGGAUCUUAGGGUCAUGAGUUUGAGCCCCAUGUUGAGUG
rnacentral:tRNA from 1 species